rnacentral:rRNA from 1 species
CCCUGGCGGCGUCCUCACUCAUGCUGUCGAGCGAAGUGGAGAGAGCUUGCUCUCGAAGCUUAGCGGCGACGGGUAUCCACGUGUGGCAACCUGCCCGAUAGACCGGGAUACUUGGGGAAACUCAAGCUAAUACCGGAUAGGAUCAUUAACCGCCUGGUUGGUGAUGGAAAGUCUGAACGACACUAUCGGAUGGGCCCGCGGCGCAUUAGCUAGUUAGUGGGGUAACGGCCUACCAAGGCGACGAUGCGUAGCCGACCUGAGAGGGUGACCGGCCACACUGGGACUGAGACACGGCCCAGACUCCUACGGGAGGCAGCAGUAGGGAAUCUUCCACAAUGGGCGAAAGCCUGAUGGAGCAACGCCGCGUGAGUGAUGAAGGUUUUCGGAUCGUAAAACUCUGUUGUUAGGGAAGAACACCCGGGGAGAGGAUCCCGGCUUUGACGGUACCUGACGAGAAAGCCCCGGCUAACUACGUGCCAGCAGCCGCGGUAAUACGUAGGGGGCAAGCGUUGUCCGGAUUUAUUGGGCGUAAAGCGCGCGCAGGCGGCUUACUAAGUCUGGUGUGAAAGCCCACGGCUCAACCGUGGAGGGCCAUUGGAAACUGGUAAGCUUGAGUGCAGGAGAGGAGAGCGGAAUUCCUGGUGUAGCGGUGAAAU